GAGAAAGAAGCAUAGGUGGUUUAAUGCGGUUGGCUUGAAACCAAUGUAUGGGGGUUCGAUUCCUCCCUUUCUUG
rnacentral:tRNA from 1 species